rnacentral:rRNA from 1 species
UACGAAGGGGGCUAGCGUUGCUCGGAAUCACUGGGCGUAAAGCGCACGUAGGCGGCUUUCUAAGUCAGGGGUGAAAUCCUGGAGCCCAACUCCAGAACUGCCUUUGAUACUGAAGAUCUCGAGUCCGGGAGAGGUGAGUGGAACUGCGAGUGUAGAGGUGAAAUUCGUAGAUAUUCGCAAGAACACCAGUGGCGAAGGCGGCUCACUGGCCCGGUACUGACGCUGAGGCACGAAAGCGUGGGGAGCGAACAGG